UUUAGGCUGAGUAUGAUGAUCUGAUCCCUACACAUGGUUGUGAUUGUGUGAAGUCAAGGGAUUACAUUGGACAUCUUCAGGAAUAGAGGUUGCUACAAUUUCUUAGUGGUUUGAAUGAUUCUUAUGAGCAAGUGCGUAGGCAAUUAUUGCUUAAAACUAUUGAACCAUCCCUAAACCAAGCAUAUGUUAUGAUCAGUGAAGAUGAAAGCCAACGAUCAUGUCCUUUUCUAAUUAUGGCAGAAAAAGGUGAACCUCUGGCUAUGCAAUAGAAGUCAACCUUAUAGAGGAAAAAAGUCAUUUGUUAAGUGUGAUCAUUGUGGAAGAGGUGGACAUGUGCAAAAAAAUUGGUAUUGGUUGAUUGGGCAUUUAGAAGGACAAAGAAAGUCUCUAAUGAGGAAUGUAAGAAGAAGAACUACACUGCAAAUUCAGAUAGAAAACCUUCCAUACUUUGACAUGAAGUCACAUAAUUCACAUUCUAAGAGAAGAAAGAACUUCAAUGUGAUUGAUGAAAGAAAGUAUUACGCAGUUAAAGAUGGAGGAGGCAGUAGUUGAUCUAAGAGGAAUGGAUCUGAUAGUGGACAUACUUUCACAGAUGAUUAGUACAAACAACUACAACAAUUGUAUGGCAGAAGUGGGCCUAGGUUCUCAGAUGAACAAUACAAACAAAUUCAAGAGAUGAUGAAUGGUAAGAAGGAUCAGUCUGAUCAACAAACCUUGGUAGGUACUGUUACAUCUUUACUAGCUGAAUUUUGUCCAAAAGAAUGAAUAGUAAAUUCAGGUGCUACUCAUCAUAUUGCAUCUCAUCUAGAUAUGCUAAAGGACAUAGUUGAACUACAUUGUUCUAAUAACCAGCAAGUCCAAUUACCAAAUUGAGAGAAAUCUAAUAUCACUUAUAUAGGAAUUGUCGAGUUCCUAGAAGAUAUGAGAGUUGACAAUGUUUGGAUCUUUACAGUGACAAGAUAAGCGGAAUUUGUAGGAAGGAGGGCAGCUUGUACAUUGUAAAGCAAGGAUUAAAGAAUGUAUGUUCAACUAAUAAUGCAGUAAUCACAUAGAAGACAAAAGUUGCUGAACUCUGGCAUCAAAAAUUGGGGAACCUUUCAUUACAAAUUAUGAAGAAACUGGGAUUGCUAAAAAAGAAGGAUUUAAAUAACUCUGCAACUACUGGUUGUCCUAUAUCUCCAUUAGCUAAACAAAAUAAGUUAGUAUUUUUAACUAGUAUUUCUAGAAGUGGAUCACCUUUGAAAAUGAUACAUCUUGAUGUAUGGGGUCCUUAUAAAACUCCCAAUCAUGAUAGAAAAAGUUUUUUUUAACUAUUGUUGAUGACCAUAACAGGUACACUUGGAUCUAUAUGUUGCAAAUAAAAAGUGAUGUUAUCACUGUUUUGAAAA